rnacentral:rRNA from 1 species
UACGGAGGAUGUGAGCGUUAUCCGGAUUUAUUGGGUUUAAAGGGUGCGUAGGCGGCUUAGUAAGUCAGCGGUGAACUUUUGCAGCUUAACUGUAACAGUGCCGUUGAUACUGCCAGGCUAGGAUUUGGUUGCUGUGGGUGGAAUGUGUGGUGUAGCGGUGAAAUGCUUAGAUAUCACACAGAAUAUCGAUUGCGAAGGCAGCUCACAAAGCCAAGAUUGACGCUGAGGCACGAAAGUGUGGGGAUCAAACAGGA